GACGAACGCUGGCGGCGUGCCUAAUACAUGCAAGUAGAACGCUGAAGAGAGGAGCUUGCUCUUCUUGGAUGAGUUGCGAACGGGUGAGUAACGCGUAGGUAACCUGCCUGGUAGCGGGGGAUAACUAUUGGAAACGAUAGCUAAUACCGCAUAAAAUUGAUUAUUGCAUGAUAAUUAAUUGAAAGAUGCAACUGCAUCACUACCAGAUGGACCUGCGUUGUAUUAGCUAGUUGGUGAGGUAACGGCUCACCAAGGCGACGAUACAUAGCCGACCUGAGAGGGUGAUCGGCCACACUGGGACUGAGACACGGCCCAGACGCCUACGGGAGGCAGCAGUAGGGAAUCUUCGGCAAUGGGGGGAACCCUGACCGAGCAACGCCGCGUGAGUGAAGAAGGUUUUCGGAUCGUAAAGCUCUGUUGUAAGAGAAGAGCGGGUGUGAGAGUGGAAAGUUCACACUGUGACGGUAUCUUACCAGAAAGGGACGGCUAACUACGUG
rnacentral:rRNA from 1 species